GCAGGGAUGGCGGAAUUGGCAGACGCACUAGAUUCAGGUUCUAGCGGUAGCAAUAUCGUGAGGGUUCGACUCCCUUUUCCUGCA
rnacentral:tRNA from 1 species